UGGGCAAGGGAGAGCAACGCCAUGGACGGCUGGGGACAAACGUGGCUGUUUCCAAGGAGAAGACUUUCGUUUGCUUUUUCAAAUCUCAUACCCAAUGUUUUUCUUCACAGGUUUUGCACAGUAGGGACCCAGAAGCCCUCGGAGACACUGCUGAGAAAGGACUACUCGAAAUAAGACCUGUGGGUAAGGCCUUCUUGACUGCUCACCUGGUCUGUGCCCAGGAGAGCUGAGGUGGGGAGCCAAUGAUUUGCGUUCACAUGCGAGAGAAACAGAGGGAUAUGUGUGAUGGAGAGCUAUGGUUUACUUCUGAAAGAGUAACAGUAUGUGGUAUAGAGCGAUUUACUGUAUGUUAUUUGAUUUCUGAAGAUUUAUAAGUCAAGUAUUUUCUUAAGUGUAAAGUUUUUCCCACUUCCAAAUGAAACAUGAAAACACUCCAAGCACUUAAGAGUAAUUUAAUGAGGCUAGUUUUUAAUUGUUGAAAUUAAUAAUCCAAGGACAUAAAAACUUACUUGAGUAAGAGCUGUAGUAGAACUUUUAACACCCUGGGAUUGAGUCCAUUUUGCUUCAAAGUAAAGAAUAUUUGCUAUUUUUAAAAUGCUAUCCGAAUAGUGUUUUGAAAAUUUACGUACAUAAUAUAAAUACCAGGAAUAGUAGCAUCUAACAAUAAAAGAGGCUGCCAAGUUUUUGCCCACCAGACAAUGCAGAUGGGACUGACCCAGAAAAGAGCGCCAACCCAGAACUUAGUGAGUCAGCAGCUGAUUAAGUCGGAGAAUAGAAGAAACCUCUGUCUUCAGAUAUCCCAAUAUAUAUCUCUGUGUUACAGUUUUUUUUUUUUUUUAAUCCAAAAAUGGUUGAUAAUUGCUGGUCAGCUGAGACCUCAUGUCUAUAUUUUACAAUGCUUCUAUUUCUCCGAGCAUUUAAAAUGAUAAGGUACUUUGUCUAGAAACCCACUGAUAAAAAAGGAAUUUGUAAACGAAGGCAAAGUUUUCUUUGGUCAGUUUCCAGCUGUCCUGGAGGUGAAGGGGGGUGGGGGGGAAGGUGGGAGGGAGGAAAACCCUCAAGCUGAAUGAAAUCCCAAUAGAGAGAAUAAUAGAGAAAGUCUGGGUUGCAAUAUGAUCCAUGCUGAACUUUAAAGGUGGGCCUCUUAAAGAAAGUUCUGGAAAAAUGUUACUGCCUCACCCCUAAGUCCCUCAACCCCCAUUUAUAUCUACCCCCAAACUAUUCUAUAUAAUGAAAACAUCUGUUCUAUAGUUUUUAUGAAAAAAAUGAAUGUGAUCUCUUUUGUCUUCCUUUAAAUUCUUUAAAAUUACAGUGGUUCCUGAACAAAUCCUUUUCUAAAUUGUACAUUUUGCAACAAUUCAAAAAUUGUCACAAGUUCUCUUUUGCAAAACAUUUUAUUACAAAAAGUUCCCCAGGUUAUCUUUUGUGAAAACAAUUUACUUUUUAAAUCACCCUUUUGAUUAUCCCCAAACUGGUAUAAAGAACAUAUUAAGUUAUCUCUUCUAUCCAUAGUUUUUAGUUAAAAUAUAAAAAGCAAGGGUAAAUUUAGUUAUUUUCUCCACUUAGAUGAUAUAAUAAAGCCAUCCUUUGUUUUUUCUAUUGUGACUUGGAGGCUUGCAUAUUAAGUAUUUUUAAUAGAACAAGAGAUAUUUAAAACCUAUAUAGUUCCUUUUACACAAGGAAACUGAAAAAAAAACCUAUUAGGUAAUUACGGAAGCUUACUCUCAAGAAAUAUAUUUUUACUAAUUGAUGCACUUAACUAAAGAAGAAAAAGAGCUAUAAGGGACUUUGGCAAUGUUUAAGUUUUUCUGAAUUUUUUUUUUAACUCUGUAUAAAUGACAGAAUUUCACAACUUGCUUUCAUUUCAUGUAUAUUUAAUUUAAAUGUCUUUCUUCACAUUUAAUGGUCUUUUUGACUCUAAGAAACUAAACGCCACUGCUCGCCCACCAAUUUUCUCCCUCAGGAUGACUUUUAGUCUGGAGAUAGAGGGGACCCGAUGGUGUCCUUGGCAUAAGUACAGGAAUAGGAACCUUAAGAAUUAAUUUGUAGAGGGGUAGCCGAGGAGUGCGUGCAAGUGCUCGGUGGAGUCCCGACAACCCAUUUUUGAUGCAAGCUUUUAACAAAUGAAAAGGAAUCGUACUUAUUUUUAAAUUGCAUGAGCUAAAUUAAGCAUCAAAAGUAAAAGCUCACUUUAUAAACCCUUGCUGACUGAAGGCAGGAUAGGAUGGUCGUUUAUAUGCUGGUACACACGCCAGCAUGUAUACACACAUAUCGUAAAAUAACCUUAUCUCUUUCCAGGGCAAUUAGAGCAAUGUUUAACUUUAUUUUGAUAUUACUUUAUAAGGAGAUAUACAAAUAUUUUAGAGGUCAUGGGAUCUAUUCCAGAGGAAACUAACCAACAGUGACAUCUUCAACUAAAACUACCGCUGCACAUGACGGUUGCAUGCAUCAUUCCUUUAAUUGAGCAGAGUUAACUGGAUCAAAUUAUUUGUGGGAGAGAGAGGGAAAGCUAUACAGAAUUACAGUAAUUUUUAAUUUCCACCAAUAUAUUCUUUGUAAGUGAAUCACUCUAAAUAUUUUCUGUUACACUGAAUGCAGCAACAAUAACAAAAUAGUUUCAUAAGGUAUUUGUUUUUGCAUACUCUGACCUUGUGAUUAUCUAAAUAGCAGCCAAGUUUACUGACAUUUUUGAUUCUGUCAGAAAAAAAGAAAGUUCUCUACUCAGAAUGUUGACCAGAAACAGAAUCAGACAUUUAUUUUCUUGAAAUCAAAUAAAUAAAUGGAAAAUUGCUCUUAUCACCUCUUUGUUAAAACUGUACCACAUCUAAUCAAUGCAUAAAAGUUCAGAUGUGUAGAAAACUAUAAUUUUUCAGUCUCUAAAAAUAUUUUCCUCUCCAUAAAGUUUCUAUUUGCUAUUUUCUCAGAAUUUUAUAAUUAAAGGGAAAUAACAAACUAGGUGUUUUCUUUAAAACUCUUUGGAAAAAGUCCCAAACUACACACUCCUUGGACAAUAAGAUUUCGUUUUGUUUUUGAAGAAAUCCCACUUACUGGAAUUCUAUCUAAAUAUUUUGUUUUUUAAAGGGCAGGGGGAUUUAUUAAAUACCUCUAUGGAUGUGAAUGAUCAUUUAUAUUAAAAUAGCCAGUAGGAUUAUCCUUGAGCCACCAGAAUUACAUUUUCUACCUGUGUAUUUAACACCAUUAACUCUUUCUUGUAUAAAUUAUAAGAAAAUUUUCUAAGGGGUCUGGUUUUACUUUUUGGAUAUGAAAUAAAGUUUUCUUUCCUACAUUUAAGGUCCUAUUCUGUAACUGUACUGUACCACCAAUGUCCAAAACACAUUCUGAGCAUCACUGUGGGUAACGACUUUUUAGUUUAUACCCUUCUGGUUCAUGGCCCGGCGCUGUAGUUAAUUAAGAGGAGGAACACGUAAGCUCACAACCGUUUCUUAUUUGGUUUUCACAUCCAUACUUAAAACCUUUGCCUUAAAAAGACUAUGAGAAAUUUAAACAAGUUCCCCUCUGCUUUAUGAAGUAUUGGCAAGAAAUGCAUCCCCUUGUCAAAUCCCACUAUCAAAGCAUCGGAUACCAAAGUUGGCUGGUUGAAUUGCCAAAUAGAUUAGGCUUGUUAAUUAUUUCGAAAAUGGCUGCCGUUUCCAUGUAAAUGACAAGUUUCUUUUUCAUGGGCAAGGCUAUGGUACUUAUCGACUACAAGAAACAUGUAUAAACAUAGUCUUUAUCUUUAACUUCAGUAUGAAAAUAUGCAGAGUUUUUGUGAAGAGGAAAAACAUCUGGCUCAAUGACUCUGAACUCUGACUGCAUGUGGGCCAGUAAUAAUAAUAAUACGAAUUGGAUUUAAGAAUAAACCUUGUGUUUAAUCUUUUUGUUUUGUUUGUUUUGUUUUGUUUUUUCCUUGAGAUUUCAGUGUGAGUGUUCUGUUACGUCCAUUAUCCAUGUUAGCAUGUCUGGAACAAAUGUAAAAGUGUACUUUCUGAAUAAAGUCAAAAGUCUCACUUGUUUUAGUUCCAUAAUGUUUUAAUGUUUAAUUCUAUUGUGUGUUUUUCUCCCUUCCCCCGCCCACCCUCCAAAAUCACCAAAUCUGGAAAACAGACUGGUUGUGUCUGCCCAUGAGCAAAGGAGACCCGAAGGAACCAAGGGCCUGGCUGGACGGCGUUGUCACGUGACUGCCUGUCUACACUUGCUGUGCAGAACAUCCGCUCACCUGUACAGCAGGCACAGACAGGCAGUCACAUGACAACCCAGCCUGAGGGACAACCAGCCACUGAAAGAGAGCAGCCCUCACACCAUAGCAUCUACACCAAGAGCUACGACCAAAAUGAGGGGCGCGGGGGCCUGGGGGCCGGAUCUGUUGGUUUAAUACUUAAUUCGUAUGUAUGAUUUUAUUAUAUUAUAUUUUGAUUCGAAUACUGAAACCCACCGAAAAGUAAAGUGAGUGGUGCCGAUGAAAUACAAUAAAACCCAUUUCUGAAAAUG